UUAAGCAUAUCAUAAGCGGAGGAAAAGAAAAUAACUAUGAUUCCCUUAGUAACGGCGAGUGAACAGGGAAAAGCCCAAAUUUGUAAUCUGGCACUUUUUACAAGUGUCCGAGUUGUAAUUUGUAGAACUGUUAUCCGCGCUGGACCAGUACAAGUCUGUUGAAAAGCAGCAUCAUUGAAGGUGAAAAUCCUGUAGAUGAUAUGGACUACCAGUGCAUUUGUGAUACGGUUUCUAAGAGUCGAGUUGUUUGGGAAUGCAGCUCAAAGUGGGUGGUAAAUUCCAUCUAAGGCUAAAUAUAAGUGAGAGACCGAUAGCAAACAAGUACCGUGAGGGAAAGAUGAAAAGAACUUUGAAAAUAGAGUUAACAGUACGUGAAAUUGCUGAAAGGGAAACGUUUGAAGUUAGUUUUGUAUUCGUUGGAUCAGCUUCGCAAGGAGUGUAUUCUGAUGAUAAGCAAGUCAACAUCAAUCUAUGAGUGUCGGAGAAGGGUUUUGAGAAUGUAGCAAUUUUUAUUAAUUGUGUUAUAGCUUGAGACUUGGAUACGAUGCUUUGGAUUGAGGAACGCGUAGUAAGCUUUGAGCGGAUUCGAAAGGAUCUCCUUACUAUGGAUGUUGGUGAAAUAACUUUAAGCGACCCGUCUUGAAACACGGACCAAGGAGUCUAACAUGCUUGCGAGUAUUAGGGUGUUGAAACCCGAAUGCGUAAUGAAAGUGAAUUUCAGAUGUGAUCCGCAAGGUGCAACAUCGACCAGUCUGGAUCAUUUAUGUGAAGGUACUGAGUAAGAGCAAGUAUGUUAGGACCCGAAAGAUGGUGAACUAUGCCUGGAUAGGGUGAAGUCAGAGGAAACUCUGAUGGAAGCUCGUAGCGGUUCUGACGUGCAAAUCGAUCGUAGAAUCUGGGUAUAGGGGCGAAAGACUAAUCGAACCAUCUAGUAGCUGGUUCCUGCCGAAGUUUCCCUCAGGAUAGCAAAGACUUUUAAAUUAGUUUUAUGAGGUAAAGCGAAUGAUUAGAGGGCUUGGGAAUGUAAUGUUCUUAACCUAUUCUCAAACUUUAAAUAUGUAAGACGUACUUGUUUCUUAAUUGAACU
rnacentral:rRNA from 1 species